rnacentral:rRNA from 1 species
UACGUAGGUGGCAAGCGUUAUCCGGAAUUACUGGGCGUAAAGGGUGUGCAGGCGGGGUGGCAAGUGGUGUAUGAAAUCUCCCAGCUUAACUGGGAUAGGUUAUGCCAGACUGCUACUCUAGAGGACGAGAGAGGGGCGUGGAAUUCCUGGUGUAGAGGUGAAAUUCGUAGAUAUCAGGAGGAACACCAGUGGCGAAGGCGGCUUCCUGGACACCAACUGACGCUGAGACGCGAAAGCGUGGGGAGCAAACAGG